UACAGAGGGGGCAAGCGUUGUUCGGAAUUACUGGGCGUAAAGGGCGCGUAGGCGGCCUGUUAAGUCGAACGUGAAAUCCCCGGGCUCAACCCGGGAACUGGCGUCCGAUACUGGCAGGCUUGAAUCCGGGAGAGGGAUGCGGAAUUCCAGGUGUAGCGGUGAAAUGCGUAGAUAUCAGGAGGAACACCGGUGGCGAAGGCGGGACCUG
rnacentral:rRNA from 1 species